rnacentral:rRNA from 1 species
UCCUACGGGAGGCAGCAGUAAGGAAUAUUGGUCAAUGGGCGCAAGCCUGAACCAGCCAUGCCGCGUGAAGGAUGACGGCCCUAUGGGUUGUAAACUUCUUUUGUACGGGAAAAAACCACCGGUCGUGUAUCGGUGCUGAUGGUACCGUAAGAAUAAGCAUCGGCUAACUCCGUGCCAGCAGCCGCGGUAAUACGGAGGAUGCAAGCGUUAUCCGGAUUCAUUGGGUUUAAAGGGUGCGCAGGCGGAGUGAUAAGUCAGUGGUGAAAGCCUACAGCUUAACUGUAGAACUGCCAUUGAUACUGUCAUUCUUGAGUAUUGUUGAGGUAGGCGGAAUGUGUCAUGUAGCGGUGAAAUGCUUAGAUAUGACACAGAACACCGAUCGCGAAGGCAGCUUACCAAGCAAUAACUGACGCUCAUGCACGAAAGCGUGGGGAUCAAACAGGAUUAGAUACCCUGGUAGUCCACGCCGUAAACGAUGAUCACUCGAUGUUGGCGAUACACAGUCAGCGUCUUAGGGAAACUAUUAAGUGAUCCACCUGGGGAGUACGGUCGCAAGAUUGAAACUCAAAGGAAUUGACGGGGGCCCGCACAAGCGGAGGAGCAUGUGGUUUAAUUCGAUGAUACGCGAGGAACCUUACCUGGGCUCGAACGUGGAAUGACAGUCGCGGAAACGUGAUCUUCUUCGGACAUUCUACGAGGUGCUGCAUGGUUGUCGUCAGCUCGUGCCGUGAGGUGUCGGGUUAAGUCCCAUAACGAGCGCAACCCCUAUCUUUAGUUGCCAUCAGGUAAUGCUGGGGACUCUAAAGAAACUGCCUACGCAAGUAGUGAGGAAGGCGGGGAUGACGUCAAAUCAGCACGGCCCUUACGUCCAGGGCUACACACGUGCUACAAUGGCCGGUACAGAGGGCAGCUACCUGGUGACAGGAUGCAAAUCUCCAAAGCCGGUCUCAGUUCGGAUCGAAGUCUGAAACUCGACUUCGUGAAGUUGGAUUCGCUAGUAAUCGUGGAUCAGAAUGUCACGGUGAAUACGUUCCCGGGCCUUGUACACACCGCCAU